UAAUGAAUAUGAAAACUGAAUGUAAAAUUAUAUUAAACACAACUUUACAUAAAUUUAAACUCAAGUCAUAACAUAACAAAUUCUAAGACACAGAUCUUAAUGCUCAUUUUGCAUUCUUUUUAAACAUAUAUGACAUAGAUGUUUCUUAGAAUAACUGUUACUUACAAGUUUAAAAAAAAUGUAAAACAAAAUCCAAACACAAAACGUAAGAUGUUGAUUUUCACUGCUGAGUUUUGUUUUUUUGUUUUGGGGUCUUGGUUUUUUUUUUUACAAUCAUCUGUUCUCUUAACAACACGACUUAAUAAAAUAUUAAAUAAAGUAUAUUAUAUAUUAAAAGGAUGAAGCUCCAGGCUUGGACAAGGAGGUAAUGGACAAGGAGAAGUGUGGUGUAUGUUAUGAGAAGGCUGUAAGUCCACACCUACAGCCAGUUUAGAAGUCAGUCUAACAUACUUGUGUUUUGAAUGUAGAAGCAAACCUGAGUGGACAGAAAAGGACGACACAAGCACCAAGUAUACAUGUGACCACACAGCGACCACCAUCAGGUUUGAACCCAGAACUUUCUUACUUCGUGUGCUAACCACCACACCAAAAUAUCACCAUUCAUCUUUUCAGUUAUUUUAUUAAAAAUUAAUAACAGGAAAAAUGGUCCAAACUGACAUGUCAUUUUAUUUAACAUUUCAAAAGUAUUUUGUUUUCCACAUGUGAGCCAUGAUGACAUGAGGUGAUGACUGUGUUUGAUAUGAAGCUGAAUCCAGUGUAUGUAGUGAACUUUGUGCUGUAUUGAUGAGUAGUUUAGUGAUCAGAGUCCAUGUAGUUUCCAGGAUCAGACUGAAUGCAGUGCAGUGCUGGAAGCUGCUGCUGACUGUGUGAAUGUGUGUCUGUGCUGCUUGUUGCUGCUGUCAAACUUCUAUUUUUACCCAACAGGACCCAGAGUCCACGUGGACGGAAACAGCUCCCUGCUGUGUGUGCCCCCAGGCAUGUUUCCUUUUCUAGUCCAGCUGUCAUGUAGAAACCAGACAAGGAAGGGGCGACUGAAGGAGCUGCCCCCUGCUGAUGGAGAGCAGCCAGAGCUCAGAGAGUCAGGGCCCUACUCUCCCAUCUUAAUGACCCAGGAGGGCAGCACCUAUGAAUGUGACUGCUACAUAAAGCACAGGGGGAAGCUCCAAACACAACAAGAUUAUGUGCCAUCUACGUUUGAGGUGAGGUCAAUCUACAUGCUGUACACAGUGCUGAUAGUGAAGAGUCUGGUGUACUGCUGUGGACUCUCUCUGCUGAUGAUCCUCACAAACAAGGGACCGUCCACCAACUGCACACGUGCUGACUGACUGUUUUCUGCUCGCCUUUUCUCACCAUCAAAUCUCAUCAAUUCAUCUCAUUCAUCACUUUCAUCAGUAAUGUGUUUAUGAUGUAGUUCAUUCCUCUUGUAUUCUGUUUCUAUAUUGCAUUUUUUAUGCACACUCUAUUCUAAAGUAGUAUAUAUAUGAACAGUUAUGGAUCAAGUGGAAAUUCAUAUAAUUAACUGAUCACUGAUCAAAAUAAAUGUGAUUUUUAUUGUCUAGUUUAUUUUGAUUUUUAAUUUGGUCAUGUAUUAUAAUGCAAAAAAUAAAGCUUCAUAUUUUAUAAUUUUUAUAGUUACUUUAUUGUUCAGAGUGAGUUUUUUCAUGCAUUCCAAAAAUUUAAUUAGCAGACUAAUAAAACAGCAUUUUUUGUGUAAUUUUGACAUCAUAACAAAAAAUAAGUAAUUUAUGAAACUAUGCUAACACUUGUUUGUACUAAAACAUUUAAAAUUGUUAAACACAUGACCUAACUUUUAACCUAAAUCAUCUGAACUGUGACUGAAUAGUUUUUUACUUUCUGUGGAUGAAAAGUUAGUCAACAGCGACAUCUGGAGUUGUUUUGUAUGUCAGAGAACACCAGACCUAUACUUCACUAAUACUUGGUAAUACUUCAUUUAUCUUUUAUUUGCAAUUUUCAAAAUAUUUUAAAACAGUGAUGAAAUAAUUAUAAUCACAACAGCUCACUCUCUGGGCAACUUACUUCUAUUACUAUUCUGAUGGAAUACUAUUGUAUUCAGCAGAUAUUUAUUUUGUUUUAUUUGCUGUUUUUAAGUGUACUUUAAGAUGUUUGUAGUGCUGUAAAAACAUCUACAUUUGGUAUAUAUUAAUAUGCUUGACAUAACUGGCAAUUGUGAAAUGUAAAAGUGAGGUCAGAGGUCAAAUGUGACAUGACAUUUAGAUGCAGGCCACAAUGUGAGGUCCAGAAUCCUCCUAUUACUUCCUAAAUGUUGUCAAUACACACAAAGGCAGCAGCAUUUUAAGCAUUAAUUCUAGAGCUGAAAGACAUUUUAUGAAAGUCUGACAUUAUUUGACCUUGAAGAAGAGCUCAGAGGAACAAAGUAAUGUGAAAUUCAGGAUCUCCAUAUAUCAUUCUCUAUAUGUUGUCAGGGCAAACAAUGACAUUAAGAAACAUAGUUUUAAAUAACUUUAUAUAAUUUUAUUAUAACUUUGACCUUCAGAUCAAUCUAUUGAGUUUGAAGGUCAGAAGUCAAAUAUGACAUGAUAUUUUAAACCUUUAUACUUCACUGUCUCUAAGUUGACACGGCACUUGUAUUCCUUGUAGGUUAUGAGGCUUUAUGUAAAUGUUUUUAUUUAUUUAUUUAUUUUAUAAAUCAUUAAGCUGACCUUGAACAUGGCUUCACUCUACAAAGCUGAAAAAUGAGUUUCAUCAGAGUUUAUUCAAAAAAAUUGUAAUUUUUUUGUUUAGGGACAGAAUGACACACACACACACACACACACACACACACACACAGAAAUACAAGCGCAACCAAAGACAUAAUGUCUUUAGCGAAGGUAACACUAAUAAUAAUAAUAAUAAUAUAAAAGAUGUCCUGUAUCUGUCUGCAUGUGUCAUAUUAACGACACUUCAUGUUAGAAGAAGUAAAUAUGUUUCAGUAAAUAAGGUACAAAAGAUGUUUUUAAAUAUUGAUGAACUGAAACAAAGAGACUGUAGGUGAAUAAGCACAAAGGUUUUCUUCAGCUUUAAGAAGUCUUUGUUUUUCUAAGAAUGAGGCAACAACGGGACUUUUGUGCUUCUGUGUCGGUGGUUUCAUGUUCUGUUGAUCUGAUAACAGGAACAGAUGUACAGGAGGCAUUUUUAUAAACCCUCUCAUAUGAAUAUAAUAAUACAAAAAUGUAUAAAAGAAAUAAAUUAAAUAAAUAAAUAAACAAGAACACAAACGAUUGGACAAAUGUGAUAUCUUGCAUACCUUGUGACAUGUGUUGAUUGUUAUACGUAGCUGUAUAUGUGCACAAUGGUUAUUAUUGUGCAAGAUUUUUUUUUUAAUGUGUCACAUUUUAUCUAUUUUUUUUUUUCAUUGUAAAUGGUCACCAACGAACUCUUGAGUAGGUUUUUCACCUCUUCUUUUAUUUCAUCACAGUUGUUUUGAACUCAUCUGUGAGUUGUUUCUCUCACAGAUUAAAAACACUGAUCGUUGCAGACGCAGCUGAAAUCAGACUGAGUUCCUGGAAUCGUUCUUUAACCAGCGCGCGUAGCUGUCAACAUAUCAUUAAAGUGAAAAACCGCAGCUAACGGUGUGGCGGCUGCAGCGUCGAAACCCACACAGCCCAUCUGUUGCACGAGGAAGGAAGUGCUGAUGCACUGAGAACAGAUUCACAUGUAAGAGCUCUUUUUUCCACUGAGCCCCCUCCACCCACUCAGAGUUACACUCAAACAAACAAUAUUAAUGACCCACUUUCAGUUGUUAUUGACCAAGUGAUACGAAACCAACAAACCCACCGUACAUACUUGAUGGCUAUGAUCUGAAUAUAGUCUAAUACUAAGAAUAUGAAUCAGCUGGAAGUUAAAUUAUAAUUAAUUUAUGAUGAAAUAAAUGUAGAUAUCUGUCAUAUUUCUGGUUUGUUGACUCAGGAUGUGUUGUGCUCUGUCAUGACUUCUCCCUCCAGCAGCCUUUUGUCUCGAGAUCACUGCUGUGAAACAGCGUUGCAUAAAUAAACUUGAAUUAUUUGAACAGUUCAGAUUAAGUCUGUAAAAUCUGUUUAUAAAUUCAUGCUUGUAUUGACCCGAAUAACGAUUUAUUAUUUAAACCAGAUUACAGAUUUGGACUGUAUAUUUUCUGUAUAAUAUUUUCACUACUUGAAAGUUUGUUUAUUUCUGAACUUAAAAUUGUAAAUUUAAAUUUUAAAGAAGAAAUGAAAAAUGUUUUUCUGGUUAGUCCAAAUAAGUCCAAUUCUGGCCCCCGGGCCUCAUGUUUGACCCCCUUGAUCUAAAGGUUAAU
rnacentral:lncRNA from 1 species